AUACAUGCAAGUCGAGCGAAUGGAUUGAGAGCUUGCUCUCAAGAAGUUAGCGGCGGACGGGUGAGUAACACGUGGGUAACCUGCCCAUAAGACUGGGAUAACUCCGGGAAACCGGGGCUAAUACCGGAUAAUAUUUUGAACUGCAUGGUUCGAAAUUGAAAGGCGGCUUCGGCUGUCACUUAUGGAUGGACCCGCGUCGCAUUAGCUAGUUGGUGAGGUAACGGCUCACCAAGGCAACGAUGCGUAGCCGACCUGAGAGGGUGAUCGGCCACACUGGGACUGAGACACGGCCCAGACUCCUACGGGAGGCAGCAGUAGGGAAUCUUCCGCAAUGGACGAAAGUCUGACGGAGCAACGCCGCGUGAGUGAUGAAGGCUUUCGGGUCGUAAAACUCUGUUGUUAGGGAAGAACAAGUGCUAGUUGAAUAAGCUGGCACCUUGACGGUACCUAACCAGAAAGCCACGGCUAACUACGUGCCAGCAGCCGCGGUAAUACGUAGGUGGCAAGCGUUAUCCGGAAUUAUUGGGCGUAAAGCG
rnacentral:rRNA from 1 species